GACGAACGCUGGCGGCGUGCUUAACACAUGCAAGUCGAACGGAAAGGCCCUGCUUUUGUGGGGUGCUCGAGUGGCGAACGGGUGAGUAACACGUGAGUAACCUGCCCUUGACUUUGGGAUAACUUCAGGAAACUGGGGCUAAUACCGGAUAGGAGCUCCUGCUGCAUGGGGGGGGUUGGAAAGUUUCGGCGGUUGGGGAUGGACUCGCGGCUCAGCAGCUUGUUGGUGGGGUAGUGGCUUACCAGGGCUUUGACGGGUAGCCGGCCUGAGAGGGUGACCGGCCACCUUGGGACUAAGGUACGGCCCAGACUCCUACGGGAGGCAGCAGUGGGGAGUCUUGCACAGUGGGCGGAAGCCUGAUGCGGCAACGCCGCGUGCGUGAUGACGGCCUUCGGGUUGUAAACCGCUUUCGCCUGUGACGAAGCGUGAGUGACGGUAAUGGGUAAGAAAGCCCCGGCUAACUACGUG
rnacentral:rRNA from 1 species